rnacentral:rRNA from 1 species
AGGACGAACGCUGGCGGCGUGCUUCAUACAUGCAAGUCGAGCGGAAAGGCCCUUCGGGGUACUCGAGCGGCGAACGGGUGAGUAACACGUGAGCAACCUACCCCUGGCUCUGGGAUAACUCCUCGAAAGAGGUGCUAAUACCGGAUACGACUUCCUUCGACAUCGUCGGAAGUGGAAAGUUUUUCGGCCAGGGAUGGGCUCGCGGCCUAUCAGCUUGUUGGUGAGGGUAACGGCCCACCAAGGCUUCGACGGGUAGCCGGCCUGAGAGGGCGAGUCGGACCGACGACUGGGACUGAGACACGGCCCAGACUCCUACGGGAGGCAGCAGUAGGGAAUAUUGCGCAAUGGGCGAAAGCCUGACGCAGCAACGCCGCGUGAGGGAUGAAGGCCUUAGGGUCGUAAACCUCUUUCGGCAGGGACGAAGCGAAAGUGACGGUACCUGCAAAAGAGCACCGGCCAACUACGUGCCAGCAGCCGC